rnacentral:misc_RNA from 1 species
CAGAGUUGCAAAACUCCCCUAAACCAUUGUGAACGUUACCUAAACCGUUGCUUCGGCGGGCGGCCCGGGUCCUUCCCGGCGCCCCUCGGCCCUCGCGGGCGCCCCGCCCGGAGGUAAACCAAACUAUUGCAUUGUAUGGCCUCUCUGAGUCUUCUGUACUGAAUAAGUC